UUUUAGAUACUCAUUUGGCAAUUACCGAAAUAGUUAUCAUUUAUGAUUCUAAUCAUUUAAAAUCCUCACAAUAAUGCACACGCUAUUUCAAGUGUUCAUUUUAGUAGUCAAGUAAAUAAGUUUGUGACGAGGAUUUUGGUUGAACAAUGAGUUACCUAUGUGGUCAAGAGAAAUAUGAUGUCAAUUAAAUUAGAUGUUGAACCUGGUUAUUUAUUCAAUGACAAAGCAGUUGAAGAACUAUGAGACUUCUAAAAUUGGUUAAUACCUAUUGAAAAAAAAAAUUGAAUUGGUCAUAUCAGUAUUUGGCAUCAUUCAAAGAAAAAUAUAUAUUUCUAGUUU